rnacentral:rRNA from 1 species
GAUCCUGGCUCAGGAUGAACGCUAGCUACAGGCUUAACACAUGCAAGUCGAGGGGCAGCAUUUCAGUUUGCUUGCAAACUGGAGAUGGCGACCGGCGCACGGGUGAGUAACACGUAUCCAACCUGCCGAUAACUCGGGGAUAGCCUUUCGAAAGAAAGAUUAAUACCCGAUGGCAUAAUUAGACCGCAUGGUCUUAUUAUUAAAGAAUUUCGGUUAUCGAUGGGGAUGCGUUCCAUUAGGCAGG